rnacentral:rRNA from 1 species
GACGAACGCUGGCGGCGUGCUUAACACAUGCAAGUCGAACGGAAAGGCCCUGCUUUUGUGGGGUGCUCGAGUGGCGAACGGGUGAGUAACACGUGAGUAACCUGCCCUUGACUUUGGGAUAACUUCAGGAAACUGGGGCUAAUACCGGAUAGGAGCUCCUGCUGCAUGGUGGGGGUUGGAAAGUUUCGGCGGUUGGGGAUGGACUCGCGGCUUAUCAGCUGGUUGGUGGGGUAGUUGCUUACCAAGGCUUUGACGGGUAGCCGGCCUGAGAGGGUGACCGGCCACAUUGGGACUGAGAGACGGCCCAGACUCCUACGGGAGGCAGCAGUGGGGAAUAUUGCACAAUGGGCGGAAGCCUGAUGCAGCAACGCCGCGUGCGGGAUGACGGCCUUCGGGUUGUAAACCGCUUUCGCCUGUGACGAAGCGUGAGUGACGGUAAUGGGUAAAGAAGCACCGGCUAACUACGUG